rnacentral:rRNA from 1 species
AUUGAACGCUGGCGGCAUGCCUUACACAUGCAAGUCGAACGGCAGCGCGGACUUCGGUCUGGCGGCGAGUGGCGAACGGGUGAGUAAUGUAUCGGAACGUACCAUUCAGUGGGGGAUAACGCAGCGAAAGUUGCGCUAAUACCGCAUAUUCUGUGCGCAGGAAAGCAGGGGAUCGCAAGACCUUGCGCUGAUUGAGCGGCCGAUAUCAGAUUAGCCAGUUGGUGAGGUAAAGGCUCACCAAGGCGACGAUCUGUAGCGGGUCUGAGAGGAAGAUCCGCCACACUGGAAGUGAGACACGGUCCAGACUACGACGGGAGGCAGCAGUGGGGAAUUUUGGACAAUGGGCGCAAGCCUGAUCCAGCCAUGCCGCGUGAGUGAAGAAGGCCUUCGGGUUGUAAAGCUCUUUCGGCCGGGAAGAAAUCGUAUGGGUUAAUACCCUGUGCGGAUGACGGUACCGGCAUAAGAAGCACCGGCUAACUACGUGCCAGCAGCCGCGGUAAAAC